rnacentral:SRP_RNA from 1 species
GCCGGGUGUGGUGGUGCGCGCCUGUAGUCCCAGCUACUUGGGAGGCUGAGACAGGAGAAUUGCUUGAACCCAGGAGGUGGAGGUUGCAAUGAACCGAGAUGGUGCCGUUGCAUUCCAGCCUGGAUGACAGAGCGAGACUCUGUCUCAA